GAGAAGGGGAAUGAAGAAACAUCAACAUGAAGCUAACUUCAUGUUUGACUGACAGCAUUGAGGAGGAAUUGAAGAAGACCUUCCCAAAUGAAGGAGAAAGAGAACCAUUCAACGGGGUCAUCAAUACAUUUCCACUUGGCACAGAGGAGGAGAUGAGGAAGAAGGAGUGCGGAAAUGUCAAACUGCAGCUGACAUUUCUCAAGAGGAAGAAAAGAUGAAAACAAACCUCAAGAAACUCCUCCGUGAGCGUAAGAGAAGGAUCUCCAGCAGCCUGACAACAACAAUGGAGGAGACCAUGAAAGAAUGCUCUGACAGGAAGACAGAAGAUCACUACAGACAUAGAAAUACACCUCUACACAUUUUGAUGUCAAC